rnacentral:miRNA from 1 species
CCACAUCACUGGCUGGUCAGA